ACCAACUCAUUGAAAUGAACAGAGGGCGAGGGUAAACAUGAAACUGCAACAUGCAUAUUAAAUAAGCAGAAGAGAAGUUUAGACAAGAGUCCCAAGAAGAGAAGAGAUGGGCUUCAGAUUUGCCUCUUGGUCUAUCAUCCACUUCAGUGUUUUUCCAACGUGAUAAAAUUCACGAUAGAACGAUGAUUACAUAUGUUUUUUUUGGGGAAAUGAAGAUGAUCACAUCUAGCUGAUGACAAGGGUUUUGCGGCCCGAAGGCAGGACCUAACUGACUGGCCGAUCGGGAUAAGUCAACUGAACUCCGACAGUCAGAUCAGCCCCCUCAACCCAUAUCUGAUGGGGAGCCUGUCCACAACAUAGGCACGAUUGACUUUUGAAUACCACAUACUAACUGAGUAGUGGUUGCACUCUGAACUGUAUAUAACUACAGUAUCGUGCUCUGCUGGCUGAAUAGGGUCCAUUAGGGUCUGAUACUAUAUAUAAAUAACUUGUAUUUCUAAAAUACUGUGUAAGAACCUGAACCGUGAUGUAUGGACUUAUUAUGUA